rnacentral:rRNA from 1 species
GAGCUUGCUCGGAUGAGUAAAGUGGCGCACGGGUGAGUAACGCGUGGGUAACCUGCCCUUGAAUCUGGGAUAACUUCGCGAAAGCGUUGCUAAUACUGGAUAUCGUCCUGUUAACUGUGGUUUUCAGGAUGAAAGGUGGCCUCUUCAAGAAAGUUGCCGUUCAGGGAGGGGCCCGCGUACCAUUAGCUUGUUGGUAGGGUAAUGGCCUACCAAGGCGACGAUGGUUAGCUGGUCUGAGAGGAUGAUCAGCCACACUGGAACUGACACACGGUCCAGACUCCUACGGGAGGCAGCAGUGAGGAAUUUUGCGCAAUGGGGGAAACCCUGACGCAGCAACGCCGCGUGAGUGAAGAAGGCUUUCGGGUCGUAAAGCUCUGUCAAGUGGGAAAAAAUUUCUGUUGUGAAUAGCAACAGAACCUGAUGGUACCACUGGAGGAAGCACCGGCUAACUCCGUGCCAGCAGCCGCGGUAAUACGGAGGGUGCAAGCGUUGUUCGGAAUUACUGGGCGUAAAGAGCGUGUAGGCGGUCUGGUAAGUCAGAUGUGAAAGCCCUGGGCUCAACCCAGGAAGUGCAUUUGAUACUGCCAUUCUUGAGUAUGGGAGAGGAGAGUGGAAUUCCCAGUGUAGAGGUGAAAUUCGUAGAUAUUGGGAGGAACACCCGUGGCGAAGGCGACUCUCUGGACCAAUACUGACGCUGAGACGCGAAAGCGUGGGGAGCAAACAGGAUUAGAUACCCUGGUAGUCCACGCCGUAAACGAUGAGAACUAGGCGUAGCGGGUAUUGACCCCUGCUGUGCCGAAGUUAACGCAUUAAGUUCUCCGCCUGGGGAGUACGGCCGCAAGGCUAAAACUCAAAGGAAUUGACGGGGACCCGCACAAGCGGUGGAGCAUGUGGUUUAAUUCGACGCAACGCGAAGAACCUUACCUGGAUUUGACAUCCUCUGACAGUCCCGGAAACGGGAUCUUUUCGACUUGUCGAAACAGAGUGACAGGUGCUGCAUGGCUGUCGUCAGCUCGUGUCGUGAGAUGUUGGGUUAAGUCCCGCAACGAGCGCAACCCCUGUUUUUAGUUGCCAAUAUUAAGUUAGGCACUCUAAAAAUACUGCCUCGGUUAACGGGGAGGAAGGUGGGGAUGACGUCAAGUCCUCAUGGCCUUUAUAUCCAGGGCUACACACGUGCUACAAUGGGCUGUACAAAGGGUCGCUAUUCCGCGAGGAGCUAAUCCCAAAAAGCAGUUCUCAGUUCGGAUUGGAGUCUGCAACUCGACUCCAUGAAGGUGGAAUCGCUAGUAAUCGUGGAUCAGCAUGCCACGGUGAAUACGUUCCCGGGUCUUGUACACACCGCCCGUCACACCACGAAAGUCGACUGUACCAGAAGUUGCUGGGCUAACCCCUUUGGGGAGGUAGGUACCUAAGGUACGGCCGGUAAUUGGGGUGAAGUCGUAACAAGGUA